CUGAAAACAUCUAUCCAGCAUAAUUCAG
rnacentral:piRNA from 1 species